CAAACAUUCAAGCUGACAAGAGAAACGAAGACGAACACAAAUGUUUUAUUAGUCUCCUACAUCAGCUGAGAACCUGGACCCAAGCAUUCCUGCUGACACCUGAAAUAAGAGGAGGUCUGCGACAAGCAACAUUCAUGCUCCAGAGCCCCAACAAGAGAAACGCCCACGACGGUCUGCAGCCCCAGCCCCAGCAUCUAGCCAGCGCAUUGAAUCCUCUUCAGAUUAGGAACAUGGGACAACCACCAUAACCGACGAAAAACUAAAGGACCUAAUGAAGGAAGCCUAUGGGGGAAGCCUUCAAAG